CCCAAGACUUCACACAGUGUUCAGCAUGAAGUUGGAGCUGAGCUGGGUUUUUCUUAUUGCUCUUUUAAAAGGUGUCCAGUGUGAAGUGAAGCUUGUGCAGUCUGGGGGUGGCCUGAUGAAGCCUGGCGGGUCCCUGAGACUCUCCUGUGUAGCCUCUGGAUUCACCUUCAGUGACUACUGGAUGAGCUGGUUCAGACAAACUCCUGACAUGGCUCUGAAGUGGAUUGGAGAAAUUAAGUAUGAUGGCAGUACCACAAACUAUGCACCAUCCUUUAAGGAUCGAGUCACCAUCUCCAGAGACAAUGGCAAGAACACCCUGUACCUGCAAAUGAACAGUCUCAAGUCUGAGGACACAGCCACAUAUUACUGUGCUAGACACACAGUGAGGGAAUCUCAGUGGGACCCACACAUAUACCUGUCUGUGAGGUUGCACAGGGCCAGCAGGGGGCACCCAGCACACAUGGAUCACAUCCAUCCCAGGACAUCAUGA